AGCUUGAGCAGAAGGUGCAGAUUUAGCUCCCUGCUGACUAUAUUUUCUGCAUAGAACAAAAACUGGAGACUUGUAGCCGAAGCAGAAUUGACCCUCAAGAAAAUCCAGAAGCUAGUGAUAGCCAAAUUGGCUGCUGCAAUUGCAAGUGAGAAAGCAUCCCAGAUAGAAACGAUGCAGAAGCAAAUCUUCAUGUAUGAUAACUGUUGAAGUUACUUCCACGCAUAUAGUUGAACUUAUGCUGCUUUAUAGACCCUAUACUUGGACACAAACUUCAACUUUAUCGGAGUGCAUAUACAACUUUCCCUUUGAGGAUAGAUUUUUGAUAAUUGACGAAAUCAUGGCGUAACUUCUUGACACUUCCCUGAUGCAGGAUUACACACAAAGAUUUACAUUUGCGGAACAAUCUGCAUGAUACAAUAAGAAGUAAAACCACUUGCUUUGGAUCAUAGUUUGAGAUAAAUAUCUGUAGAAAUAGCCGUGGAGUAGUUCAAUAUCCAAUACAUAGAAUAUCAAUCAUAUCCAAUAACACGUGGUCCUCUCUAAUUUAUUUCAUACCCGCCCCACCCCCUUUUGAAAAAUUGGAUGAGAAGUACAAAGUGGAAAUUAGUGGCAAAAUAGAUUUGACUAGUUAUACAGAGCACACUGUAGCGUAGACAUAGAAAACCAUGCAUUUUUUUCUGACAAAAAUAUAACAAUAGUUGAAUACUACUUGUGGACUGAAUUUAAUCUCAGAAUCAACUCUGGAUGUGGAAGGUGGGACAGCCAUGUAGGGAGAGAUCUAUAGCGACAACCACCAUAGAAAAAUGUAAAAUUGGAAUUUUUUCCUGACAUUAUGGUUUCCAAAUUCAAUGGAAUUGUGACAAACUUCAUUAAUUUAUAGGAUACUACAUUUUAUACCACUUGGAAAUAAUGAAAAUUUUUCGUGGUAUCUGAAGUUUCCAAUUAAAUGCUAAUUCUUUAUUUAAUGUUUUGGAUUUCUGUUCGAAUCGUGUGCAUUUUAGAUUCCUAUUUUAGAGGGUAUGAUAUACAAUGUAUGGGUUGAUUAAACAUCUCUCUUAUUUAUGUCUUGCAUGAGCACAUUUGGAUGGAUUUGCUGCAAAAGUUGACGUAGUUAAGGUUCUUUUGUGGAUAGAUGCCUUGUGCAUGGCAUUCUUUGCGCGAUCUGAAGAGGCUGGUCAGAGUCAUUAUAUUCACAAGCUUGCAUUGGUAAAUGCUGUUAUUAUGCAUAUUCUGAGAUAGUUGAGAUCAUGGCGUACAAUUGAUAAUGCAGAAUAUAUUCCCUAAUCACCAAUGUUACAUAGACUCGGGUACGGGUGUCGGGUGCUAAAACGCGUCCAAGUGUUUGAGUCAUUUGAUUCCCAUGUCAAAGAUACAUGGAUACGGCAAAAUAUGCAUAUAUAUCUUAGUAUAUCUAUUUUAUUUUUCAGGAUAAGUAGCAUUUACAAGGUGUUAUAAUGUAUUUCAUGCAGAAUUUGAUAUUUUUAGCUGUAGACUUUAAUUACUCUAUGCGCUUUCUAGGUGAGUGUCCAAUUAAAAAUGUCAGACACAUAUCCCAUGUCCUUAUUUGAGUGUCGAGUGUCCGACAUGCGUACUUUUUACUUUUUACGUUUAGGAGAGUCAUGUAACAUAGCUAAUCACUAUUGUUUACUUUAUUUGUACUAUCCUAGAGUCAUUAAGUUAUUUAGAGGCCAACUUAGUGUAAUUAAAGGGCGGGCACCAGCAGUCCUUUGCUCCAACUACAAAGGUAACUUUAUGUAACCGUUAGAUAUUAGCUUAUUUGUCAUUUUUAUUAUUAGGUUAUUAUUGAGGGAUUUGUGUGUAAUUAUUUAUUUUUGGUUAUUAAUAUAAAAGGGUAAAGGCCUCUCAACCUCAACCUUAAUUCAGUUUUUCCCUAAACAACAUGGUAUCAGAGCCCCUUAAUCAGAGUUAGAAAAAAUUAUAUAAAAAAUUUUAUAUAAAAAAAAUUAAUAAAAUUCGAAGUGAAAGUAAAAAAAUUAAAAAUACGGGUAUUAACAACAGUAUAAAAGGGUUGCUAUGGUUAAGUGAUGGGAAGAGAGAGAGUGAGAGUUAUGAUGGAGAGAAAGUGAAAGUGAUGGGAGGAGAGAGAGUGAAUGUGAUAUUUUGUUCGGAAAAAAUAAUUUGAGGUGAAAUCUGAGCUGUUGGAUCAACUCAAUUGUUUCAGCCGUAAUAGUGAUAGAGCUUUUUGGAUUCAAACGUAGUUGUGAUUUUGUAUUUAGAUUUGGACCAGCUAGAUGAGUCUUUAAAACCCUAUUCUACUCUUACUACUUUAUGGCAGCUCCUCGAUCACCUGACGGAUUACACUCGCUAAUUUUGGUCUGGCCUAUCUACUUGCCUUCGGAAAAUUUAUUGCAGACAAUGGUUAUUCAAGUUUUAGUAGCUUACGAGAUGAGUAUGAUUUAGGUACGGUGCCGUAUACUUAAUAUGGAUGCCAGUUCCCUCCUUGAGAGAGGUUUUUGUCGUUUAUCCAAAAUGAGGAGAGCCAUUGGGGUGUGAUGUUACCAUCAAUUCAUUCUGAGCAAUCAUCCCUUGUUUCUGUUCCCCAGUCUGAGCGCCAGGCUACCCAUCAUGAUUUUUUUCCUUUUAUUGGUAGUGAUGACAAGGAUAAGUUACAUUGUGAUUAUUGCCAGCGACCUCGUCACACUAGGGCGACUUGUUGGUGUUUCCAUAGUCGUCCUGCUCGAGGACGAGGUGGUCGUUCAGGCUUUGCGGGUGGCCGUGGUGGCAGUUCUCGUGCUCAUCAUUCUACAGUGGUCGAGCCUCCUCCUUCAGGCUCCAAGUCUAUGACCUUAUCUACCAUUGAGAUUGAAUUUCUCUGCAGCGUGAUGUCUCGACUGGAUAUUUCUACCGAUGCCUUAUCUUCUUUUGCUCACUCAGGUUACUUUGCCCGCUUAGGUAAUUCCCAGUUAGUGCGUGCAAUAUGUACAUGAUUAGGAAUAGAGACAUGAUAUUUUCGAGAUAGAGGUUUUGUAAGUAAGAGACAGACGAGUGUAUGGCCAAAAUUAGAGAUAGGGUAUAUGCACCUAACCACCCUUACAAAUAGCAAUAGGUGCAUCUAAAUCUGUGGACGCUAAGGAUAAUGGAUUGGGCUACCUGAACCUUCAGCGGGAGACAAUGAUGUGGUGUAGGGUGCAAUGACCUUUAUCUUUUUAAUUUCCUGUUCGCUCAUACACUAGCUUUUUAUUUGUCUUUUUUUACUCCACCUUUAACAUAUGUUCGUAAUUGUUUAGGCUCUUUGCACUUUUUGGUUGGAUGCAAAUAGAGGAGACCCCAUAUUUCUUUCCUCAUUUUUAUCCAGGGUACCACUUUAUCCUGAAUCCCCCCUUGGUGGUGGCUGACUGGAAUGAUAAAUAAAGUUGGGACUCAAUUAAAUUCACCUUCAUGGAUACAAAUAGCUUUCUAGGAGGAUGGUAACUUUUAUACCUUUUCUGAGUAGGAUAGUCACAUUAAUGUAUAAAGUUUUUAUAUCACUAUUGCUACGCUCCUUUUUAUCACAAUAGCUUUCUAUCACUAUUGCUACGCUCCUUUUUAUUUCCAGUGCCAAUUACCAACAGCCAAACCAACACUAUAUCAAACCCAUAAAUUAAUCCAUAAGCUGUAUGAACCUUAAUCCCUAUUUACCCUACCAUUCUAGCCCUAAAAAAAUAGAAUUCCCUUUCCAUCCAGAAAAUGUAGCUAGUAUUAGUAUUCGGUUUCGUAAUAGAAUCAACCCUAAACCAUAAGCAUUUCAAUCCCAAUUCUAUUCCUGAAGUUGCAGCCUUGCCAUUUCAACCAUAAAUCAUGAAAGUUGCUUAGUCCACUAUACCUGAUUGUAAAGCAGCCUUUAUUCGGCUCUGUCCUAUUUGAAAAUUUGAGAACACAUAAUCUAUCUUGUCAAUAGGAUCUUUUUCCGAAACUACCAUCACUUUCUUUUGAGAAAGCCCUACUUGGUGAAAUAUGAAAAAACUUUCAUUAUUUCAAGUCAGAACUCAUCUUGAUAUGGGUUCUCCCUUCGGCAAGGUCUACAGAAGGUGUCUAUUGCAUAAAGGAUGUUAUCGGUCAAUGAUAGUAGCCGUUUACUGGUUGUUUAUUUCUUGUCAUAUUGAAAUCUUUCGGGGUUCUUGGUAAUAUAUUUAUUCGCAUAACACCUAUAAACUGAUAUAUUUCCCCCCAUUUUUUGUGAAUGAGAAUGUACUGAAGGAACUAAAGUACAGAUUUCAAGAGGGUAUAUCCUCCUAUUACACGAUCAAGCAAAACAAAGGGUACUAUUGGAAUAUAUAAUGCAUAAACACAUAAUUGGGAAUAGACCAGUUAGUACAAAUAAGAUCAUUGAGGCAGCCAAUUAGUACAAAUAAGAUCAUUGAGGCCUUGCAUCUUCUUUAAUCUGGCUGAACAAAACAUUAGGAGAUCUUUGGAAUUCUCCAAAAACUUUGUAAUUCCUUUUUUAAAUUAAAAACUGUUCAUUAUUGGUCAUAAUCCGUGAAUGGUAGUAUGCCAUGUGCAUGCCACAUGCUUGAUUUGAGUGAUCACAUCUUCCGCAACAAGAGUCACUUAUGUAUUGAAGAAUUCAAAUGAGCCAAUUUAGAUAGACUUUUGAUUUAUAGGUCUUUUGCAUGACUGAAUGAAUAAUUUUAUAGAUUUUGGGGAUUAAAAUAUUCUUUAAAUGGGUCUGAUAUCCAAUUACUCCUCCCUCCCACCACCAAUGGAGGGGGUGGGUGGGGAGAGUGAAGUGAAAAGCUUGUAAGAUAAUUUUGGUUGGUGAAAAUUGAAGAGACAAAUGCAUGCUUCAUAUAUUUUUCAUUCAAUAGAUUUUGUGAGUUGUGACUAACGUGAUUAUUAUUUAUUAGGUAGUUGAAUUUUUACGCAAUUAACAGAUUUUGUGUUUGUCUUGAUGAGAGUCGUUUCAGUUAUGCGUGUCUUCAGGGAGCACUUGCACUG
rnacentral:lncRNA from 1 species